rnacentral:rRNA from 1 species
GGAAUCAAGCUGUUAAGGGCAUAGAGUGAAUGCCUUGGUGCCAACAGGCGAUGAAGGACGUGAUAAGCUGCGAUAAGCUUCGGAGAGCCGCACACAGGCUUUGACCCGGAGAUUUCCGAAUGGGGUAACCUGAUUCCAGUAAUAUGGGAUCGUUCCAUCCUGAAUAAAAUAGGGAUGGAUACGCGAUACCUGGUGAAGUGAAACAUCUCAGUAACCAGAGGAAAAGAAAACGAAUGUGAUUCCGUAAGUAGCGGCGAGCGAAAGCGGAAUAGCCCAAACCGGGGCCUUUGGUCCCGGGGUUGUAGGACCCUUGAUGGGACCUCGGAAGGUAGUCUAAAACGUUGGAAAGCGUUUCCAUAGCGGGUGACAGGCCCGUGGACGAAACCGGAAGAGGCCCUGUGGAGUUCCUGAGUAGCGCAGCACACGUGAAACGUUGCGUGAAUCUGCCCCGACCACGGGGUAAGGCUAAAUACUAGUUGGCGACCGAUAGUGAACCAGUACCGUGAGGGAAAGGUGAAAAGUACCGCUGCGAGCGGAGUGAAAUAGAACCUGAAACCCUAUGCCUACAAGGUGUCAGAGCCCCUUCGGGGGUGAUGGCGUGCCUUUUGCUUAAUGAGUCUGCGAGUUACUCUCUGUGGCAAGCUUAAGGUCUUUUGGACUGGAGGCGUAGCGAAAGCGAGUCCGAAUAGGGCGAUUAGUUGCAGGGGGUAGACCCGAAGCGGAGGUGACCUACCCAUGGCCAGGUUGAAGCGUGAGUAAAAUCACGUGGAGGACCGAACCGUUGUGUGUUGAAAAAUGCUCGGAUGAGCUGUGGGUAGGAGUGAAAGGCUAAUCAAACCCCGUGAUAGCUGGUUCUCUCCGAAAUGCAUUUAGGUGCAGCGUCACGUGCUGAAGGACGGGGGUAGAGCACUGAAAGGGCUAGGGGGCAUACCCGCCUACCAACCCCUAUCAAACUCCGAAUACCGUCCGGUGGAGCGUGGCAGUGAGACAGUGGGGGAUAAGCUUCAUUGUCGAAAGGGAAACAGCCCAGAUCAGCAGCUAAGGUGCCUAAAGUACGCUAAGUGGAAAGGAGGUGGAGUCUCAUAGACAGUGAGGAUGUUGGCUUAGAAGCAGCCACCAUUUAAAAAAAGCGUAACAGCUUACUCAUCGAGAGACUCUGCGCCGAAAAUAAUUGGCGAUAAGCGUGCUACCGAAGCUCUGGAUGUCAUCCUUAUGGAUGGCGUGGUAGGAGAGCGUUCCCAGUGCAGCGAAGGGUGAUGGUGACUGACCCUGGAGCGCUGGGAAGUGAGUAUGCAGACAUGAGUAACGAUAAGACCGGUGAAAUCCCGGUCCGCCGUAAACCCAAGGUUUCCCGGGCAACGUUUUUCGUCCCGGGGUUAGUCGGGACCUAAGCCGAGGCCGAUAGGCGUAGGCGAUGGAAAGCUAGUCAAUAUUCUGGCACCUCCGACCCUUAAACUGGGGGGACGCGGUUUGAAAAGUAGCUAGGUUAUUGAAUUCCGAGAUGCGGCCACGGCCAAUUCGUACUACCAGACAAACCGCCAAGAAAAGCCCCAGCAAAUGCUAAGGAGCCCGUACCGUAAACCGACACAGGUGGGUGGGUAGAGUAUACCAAGGCGCAAGAGUGAAACCUGGUUAAGGAACUCGGCAAAAUGGCUCCGUAACUUCGGGAUAAGGAGUGCCCCUUUUUUGGGGGCCGCAGUGAAUUGGCCCAUCCGACUGUUUAGCAAAAACACAGCAUUGUGCUAAGGCGUAAGCCGACGUAUACGAUGUGACACGUGACCAAUGCCAAAAGAUUACGGUAAGGUGUUAGCCCUCGUGGCGAAGCUCCGAGCCCAAGUCCUGGUGAAUGUCGGCCGUAACUAUAACGGUCCUAAGGUAGCGAAAUUCCUUGUCGGGUAAGUUCCGACCUGCACGAAUCGUGCAACGAGAUGGG